UUCCCUAGCAAUGGGCAAAGACACACCUUGUUGGUGGUGUUGUUCUUAUAUCAGUCAGGGGCACAUUGGCAGUCCUUUGCUUAUCCUAGCUUGAUGACUGGCUUUGAAAUAAAAGCUGUUUUAUGCCUAGGACACAUAA